rnacentral:rRNA from 1 species
UACAGAGGGGGCGAGCGUUGUUCGGAAUUACUGGGCGUAAAGGGCGCGUAGGCGGCCCGCUAAGUCGAACGUGAAAUCCCCAGGCUCAACCUGGGAACUGCGUCCGAUACUGGCAGGCUUGAAUCCGGGAGAGGGAUGUGGAAUUCCAGGUGUAGCGGUGAAAUGCGUAGAUAUCGUAAGGAAGACCAGUGGCGAAGGCGGGUCUCUGGACAGUUCCUGACGCUGAAGCACGAAGGCCAGGGGAGCAAACGGG